UACAGAGGGGGCAAGCGUUGUUCGGAAUUACUGGGCGUAAAGGGCGCGUAGGCGGCCCGCUAAGUCGAACGUGAAAUCCCCGGGCUCAACCCGGGAACUGCGUCCGAUACUGGUGGGCUUGAAUCCGGGAGAGGGAUGCGGAAUUCCAGGUGUAGCGGUGAAAUGCGUAGAUAUCUGGAGGAACACCGGUGGCGAAGGCAGCUCUCUGGUACAUGAUUGACGCUGAGACGCGAAAGCGUGGGGAGCGAACAGG
rnacentral:rRNA from 1 species